CAAUCAUAUCGAUGUUCUCCAAAGCAAAAAACGGUCAGGACUCCGGUGACCGUACGAACACCAAAAGAAGAGGCACACACUCAGAGUGAUAAUGCUGUUGCCGAUUCAUUUAUCAAUUACGAUAAUGCCUACCACGUCUCUAUGAGCCCGAUGGUGAAUGAAGAUUUUAAUGAGGAUCCUGAAAUAAUCAAACUGAGACGAUCCGAAAGGCUUGUAAAGCCCGCAGCAGCUGUGCUAUCCCCGUAUGUGGCUUACAAAAGAUUGAAAGAUAGAAAAGCCAAAAGGUUAAGAAA